rnacentral:lncRNA from 1 species
UUUACCUUACCACCAAACAACACAAGCACAAUGACAUCCAAGAAUUCCAUUGCUAUUCUGGUCUUACUCCUCGUUACUCUCAUUAUGCCUGCCCAAUCCACCAGUACGUAUCACGUUCACCCAUCAAAGUGUUUCUCAUUGAAGCUUUUGUUUUGGAUGUCUAAUUAAGUUUGAGCUUAAGCUUGAGAAACCAUUGCUGCAGUUGAUGCUAAAGUUUGACUGGUUAUUUGUUUGCAGGUUAUCCAAUUCAUGAUCAACAGAUUGUACGCUGCAUUUAUAUGGGGCCGUGCGUAAAUAGUCGUCAUUGUGAAAAGCAUUGCCAAUUCAAUCGCCAUCUUCCUGGGAAAUGCGCUGAUUAUAAUAAUACACAAAUUUGCUGCUGUCUUCCACCAUGAUUUGGAAGGGAGUUCAGGAGGCCUUUUCCUUAAUGCAUAUGUAGUCUUCAUGAGUUUUAUUUUGUGCCGCUAUGCCAGCUUUCAUGUUCUCUGCUCUCUAUAUAGAAGGAAAUAAAUGAAAUAAUUUAUAAACAAGAAAACAAUAGAAAAAGAAAUGCUCAUUUCGUAUGUGAUGCGUUUCCGAAUCUAUUUUUCUUUUGAACCCUUUUUUGUAUUUAAAAUAUAAUUUUCUUAGAUUCUCCAUAACUAAGAAAUCCCAGGUAUAAAUCUAAGCAGUG